AUUGAACGCUGGCGGCAUGGCUAAAACAUGCAAGUCGAACGCGAACGGGGGCAACCCCUAGUAGAGUGGCGAAAGGGCGAGGAAUAGAUUCCUACGUGCCUCAAGGUCGGGGAUACCUCGGAGAAAUCCGAAUCAAUACCCGAUGUGGUCGGAAACGAUCAAAGGCUUGCUGCCUUGAGAGCGGGGAAUCUCCUAUCAGGUAGUUGGUAGGGUAAUGGCCUACCAAGCCGAAGACGGGUAGCGGGUGUGAGAGCACGGCCCGCCGCAUCGAGACUGAGACACUGCUCGGACUCCUACGGGAGGCUGCAGUAACGAAUCUUCCGCAAUGCGCGAAAGCGUGACGGGGCAAUGCCGCGUGUGGGAUGAAGCCCUUCGGGUGUAAACCACUGUCAGGGUGCAGGAACUCAAUGACCAUACCCAAAGGAAGCACCGGCUAACUCUGUG
rnacentral:rRNA from 1 species